rnacentral:tRNA from 1 species
UCCUUGGUGGUCCAGUGGUUAAGGAUCCUGCUUGCAGUGCAGGGGACACCAGUUCAAUCCCUGGCCUGGGAA